GUUCCCCAGGCUUCAGAUGCUUGCUACCCAGGUCCUGAUUCCUGCAUCUCUACUUAGAGAGAUGAAGGCCAUUCCUCCCCUCUCCCCACCGGGAGCCAUCCAGGCCCAGGUGCUGCCCAACAGGACUGGGCUCGUGAUGGUGAUUACCUUAUCUUUACCAUGGCAAGACCUAUACAAAGAGGCAUGUAUGGAGUGACAAAAGCAUUGCGCUUGGAAGCAGAUCAUUUUACAGAUGAGGAAAUGGAGGUGACUUGUCCAGGGUCACAUAGCUACUUAGUGUCUGAAGAUGGAUUUGAACUCAAGAAGAGAAGGCUUUCCGACUCCAAACUCAGCCUUCUAGCCACUGCACCACCACUGGACCAGCCAUCCAGCUGCCCAACCUGAAAUAUAGUAGGUACUGGGUUGCUGCCUGAGGCAUGGAGAGCCUACAUGAUUUGUCAAGGGUCACAAAGUUAAUAGGGCAACUACAUGGUGAAGAGAAUAGAGUGCUGGGUCUGGAGUCAGGAAUACUCUGAGUUCAAAUCCAGCUCAGACACUUACUUGACGUGUGACCUUGGGUAAGUCACUCAACCCUGUUUGCCUCAGUUUCCCAUCUGGAAAA